rnacentral:rRNA from 1 species
AGUGAACGCUGGCGGUAGGCCUAACACAUGCAAGUCGAACGGCAGCACAGUAAGAGCUUGCUCUUACGGGUGGCGAGUGGCGGACGGGUGAGGAAUACAUCGGAAUCUACUUUUUCGUGGGGGAUAACGUAGGGAAACUUACGCUAAUACCGCAUACGACCUACGGGUGAAAGCAGGGGAUCUUCGGACCUUGCGCGAUUGAAUGAGCCGAUGUCGGAUUAGCUAGUUCGCGGGGUAAAGGCCCACCAAGGCGACGAUCCGUAGCUGGUCUGAGGGGAUGAUCAGCCACACUGGAACUGAGACACGGUCCAGACUCCUACGGGAGGCAGCAGUGGGGAAUAUUGGACAAUGGGCGCAAGCCUGAUCCAGCCAUACCGCGUGGGUGAAGAAGGCCUUCGGGUUGUAAAGCCCUUUUGUUGGGAAAGAAAAGCAGCAGGUUAAUACCCCGCUGUUCUGACGGUACCCAAAGAAUAAGCACCGGCUAACUUCGUG